CCCUUCGAAAAAAGCAUCACGGGCAAUCCCCUUCGUCCCUCCCCACGCAUCAGCGGGCGCACCCCCGCCGCGGCCGGCGGUGCCGCUGCCUUCCUCGCGGAGUCCACGCCCGAAUUUCACGUCGGGAGUAUUGGUCUCCGUCUCUCCAGCUCCUCCCUCGAGCCUACCUCCCGAGCAACCUUCCUCCCAUCCCAAUUCCAGGAGACGCAUGGCGACAGAGUGCGGGCCUCCGCAACAUCCCCUCCCUUCUGCUCCCCCUUCUUCUUCCCUUGAACUGGAUCCGUCCUCCAUCGCCGACCGCCGCCACUCCCGUCUCUAGCAGCCCCUACAUCCCUAACCUUGAGUAGCGUCCCCACAGGCCACAGAUAUUGGUCAUGGGAGCAUGUGAGAUGGCGGCUACAGUGGAAUAGAAGAACCUUGGAGAGGUGCCAGUGGGCAGCGGCGGCGGCUCAGUCGUACUCAACAUCGUCGGCGAACAGCCUCCCCAUCUCUGUGCCACAUCCACAUCUCCCGCAUUUGCUGCCGUCGCUCCUCCAUCUGCAUCACUGACAGAAUGGCCUUCUGGAUGGUCUUUGGUUUGUGGGUGACAGGUUGUGGAAUUGGAGCCGGGUACAUGUGCCAGAUCGUUUAUACACAAAUUGCAGACGGAUGCAUGACAAAUUUGGUGUGCAGGAUAUAUGCAACUUGCAUACGGAUCAGUCAAACCAUGUGCUAAGCUUCAGAGCCACUCCACGCUCGAGGAUGAGCUGGGACGCCAUACCAGGCAAUGUGCGGCACCUCACAUUGCUCAUGGAAUUAGAGAUGCUGGAUGUUGGAAUAUCCGUUCGCUUUCAACACUAUCCCGGUCUCUUGAGUUGUUUCAUUUUUAUUCUUGUGAUGGUGACUUAAUGAAGUACUGUCAAACAGUGGGACAUCCAAACUGGGAGAAAAUUGAGCAUAUCCCCAGGAUUUUUUUUUGAAGACUGGGUUCAAGUAAGGUUGUAAUCCUCUUUGUGUUUCCAUUUAGUAUUUGUAAAAAUUGCCUACGUAGUUGAUUAUCUACUACUGUUUAAUGCAUUUACUACUAAUUGGCGUUUUAGGAAGUACGCGUGAUGUUAGUCAUCGCAAGACAGGGAAGGUCAUUCCAGCAAGUUGGUUCAAAUGAAGGAGUUGCAAGCUCAAAUUAUGAUGCUGGGCAUUCAACUAUUAUUGUAGCAGUCUGCUUGUUGUGAUUUGCAGUACCCUUUUUUACAUGAAUUAGUUGUGUCGUUCAAUUUGAUUCGAAAAUGCGCUAUUCUGAGCAUUUCUUUGUGCGUGUAGUCAAGCUCCUCGGUUUUGCUUGAAAAAUGAAGGAUACUGCAUAUACCCAAGUAUUUUCCAUGUUUUCUCAUACCGACCUGCCAUUUGGAGCUUAGUUGUCCGGAAUAGUGCAAAUGAUCAUCCACUACUGGAAAAUUGGUGUUUGCCAUGUGCCAUGGUCUUUGGCGAGAUCCAUUUUGCGUUCUAUUGGCAAAGCAACCCGUUGUCAAGCACAACACUUGGAAAACAUGGAUAUUUAGUAGAGGCUUCAAUUCUUCGAGAGCUAGUAGGAAAAUAUUAGAGAGAUGAGCAGGGGAGACUGGUACUUCCCAUUACAGUGGCCAAAGAAAAGCAACAAUUUUUUGCGUCCAGCGAAGCUUUCUCGGUAGUGCCCAGGUUAUGAAUUCAUGUGAUUUCAGAUGCAACAUUUAGAUGUAGUGCAAUUGAGAAUGCAGCAGGUCAGAACAAUGGAUGACAAAGGUGUUAUGAGUGGCUAGGUAGGACAAUGUGCCGCUAGCUCUAUAGAUUGUGUAAAAUGUGGAUAUGUGAAUUGCCCAGAUUGCCUUAGGGGCCAUGUUGCAAACUGUUCAAGGUUAGGUAUGUUUCUCCUUUUGACA